rnacentral:rRNA from 1 species
UACGGAGGGGGCAAGCGUUAUUCGGAAUUAUUGGGCGUAAAGGGCGCGUAGGCGGCUUGGCAAGUGGAUGGUGAAAUCCCUCGGCUUAACCGAGGAACUGCCGUCCAAACUGCUUCGCUUGAGACCGGGAGAGGUGAGUGGAAUUCCCAGUGUAGCGGUGAAAUGCGUAGAUAUUGGGAGGAACACCAGUGGCGAAGGCGGCUCACUGGACCGGUACUGACGCUGAUGCGCGAAAGCGUGGGGAGCAAACGGG